GAGGACUGCACGAAAGAUGCUUUACAUUUGUAGGCAAAAAUAAUUGAACUAUAGCUCUCCAUAUACAAUUUUAUGUAAAAGGUAGAAUAUGCUUGGGUGUUGAUUCAGUUCUCAGUGCAGCUUACAUUACCAUCCCAUAGGUCUUGUGGUAUUCAAAUGUACUUUCUUGAAUACAAUGGGGUUAACUAGAAGACCUAAAUUGUGCAUAUUUGCAACAGAGAUAUAUACACAAAAAAAUUUUCUUGGCACUACCCUUUCGUGUAAAUAAUCCAAUUUAGCCUAGGUGCAAUCCCGUGUUGAAGAUAUAUAAACAAAAGAAAAGAGUGCAUCUCUUUUCUUUUGUGUGUAUGUGUGUG